rnacentral:rRNA from 1 species
GAUGAACGCUGGCGGCGUGCCUAAUACAUGCAAGUCGAGCGAACAGACGAGGAGCUUGCUCCUCUGACGUUAGCGGCGGACGGGUGAGUAACACGUGGAUAACCUACCUAUAAGACUGGGAUAACUUCGGGAAACCGGAGCUAAUACCGGAUAAUAUAUUGAACCGCAUGGUUCAAUAGUGAAAGACGGUUUUGCUGUCACUUAUAGAUGGAUCCGCGCCGCAUUAGCUAGUUGGUAAGGUAACGGCUUACCAAGGCAACGAUGCGUAGCCGACCUGAGAGGGUGAUCGGCCGCACUGGAACUGAGACGCGGUCCAGACUCCUACGGGAGGCAGCAGUAGGGAAUCUUCCGCAAUGGGCGAAAGCCUGACGGAGCAAGGCCGCGUGAGUGAUGAAGGCCUUCGGAUCGUAAAACUCUGUUAUUAGGGAAGAACAAAUGUGUAAGUAACUAUGCACGUCUUGACGGUACCUAAUCAGAAAGCCACGGCUAACUACGUG